UGGGGAAUAUUGCACAAUGGGCGCAAGCCUGAUGCAGCCAUGCCGCGUGUGUGAAGAAGGCCUUCGGGUUGUAAAGCACUUUCAGCGAGGAGGAAGGGUAGUGUGUUAAUAGCACAUUGCAUUGACGUUACUCGCAGAAGAAGCACCGGCUAACUCCGUGCCAGCAGCCGCGGUAAUACGGAGGGUGCAAGCGUUAAUCGGAAUUACUGGGUGUAAAGCGCACGCAGGCGGUUUGUUAAGUCAGAUGUGAAAUCCCCGCGCUUAACGUGGGAACUGCAUUUGAAACUGGCAAGCUAGAGUCUUGUAGAGGGGGGUAGAAUUCCAGGUGUAGCGGUGAAAUGCGUAGAGAUCUGGAGGAAUACCGGUGGCGAAGGCGGCCCCCUGGACAAAGACUGACGCUCAGGUGCGAAAGCGUGGGGAGCAAACA
rnacentral:rRNA from 1 species